GUGGCCUCACCAGUGCACAGUGCAGGGGCAGGAUGGCCUCCCUGCUCCUGCUGGCCACGCUGUUCCUGAUCCAGGCCAGGAGCCAUUUGGUCUUGGCCACCAGGGCUCUGCUGGCUCGUGUUCAGUCACUGCUGACCAGCACCCCACCCCCAGGUCCCUUUCUGCCUGGGCACUGUGCAGCCCCUCUGUCCCCAGCCUGUAGCCCUGCAGGGGUUGUUGUGGCCAAAAUGCAGGGCUGGGCACUUGGACUUGUUCAGCUUCAUGUUGUUGGACUUGGCGCAUCUAUCCAGCCUGUCCAGGUCCCUCUGCAGAGCCCUCCUAAACAGAUUGACUCAUGUUCCCACCUUGGUGUCAUCUGUAAAUGUAUGGUACCCUCCCCUCUCAUCCUACUUCUUUUAGUCAGGUCUUCAACUCCACCCCUCUCCCAGCUCACAGCAACACUCAAUGAACCAACCAGAAAAAUCCAAACAAUCCAAACACCACACAGAACUAACACCUAACCUAACAACCUUUUGGCUUCAGCAAAAUGUCACAAUUGUCUCUCACAAUCCACCCUUUCUUUUUAUUAUCCUUUUAUUGCUGAAGCCCUUGCUUUAAUGACCCUGUCUGGUCAGCACAAACUGGCUCCUUUUGUGAAGUAGUUGUAAAUAAGACUAAUCAGUCUUUAUUUGGUCAGUGCUAAGUUCAGUCUCUUUAAAAGUUCCUGAUUUGUCAGUUCACGUUGCUGUCCACAGUUCUCCUCCAAGUCAAGUCAAGUAGGAUGCAGAUACACUUGUGUGCAGUGCCUCCAUCAGCAGUUCCAUCCGUGCUUGCUCAGAUGAUGCAAACCUCAGACUGUAACUGCAGCAUCAAAGAUUACCUUCCUCGGUAUCCACACCUGCUUCCUGAGUUCUGUGCACUAGAACAGCACACUGCAGGGAUGUAGAGGUGAGGCACAGACGCCAUGACACUCCAUCCAGCAAUUUCCAGAGUCUUAAAUCAUCAUUUCCUAUUCCUCUUUUGUCAAGGUCUGGUUUGCCUUAUAUUCCCACUGCUCAACACCCGAGGGAUGGCAGCCCAGAGUGGAGCAAAAGGCUCUCUGGUGGCAAAUACAGAGGUCUGUCCAGUUCUGCCCUUGACUGUUCACUAUUAAAUCAUCUUUUGAAGAUUAACUUUUAAGAGUCACUUCCUUGUACCACUGUCCAAGUUUGGGGAGCAGCUUCCACUGGCCCUUUGACUUGAGAGGUUCUUUUUCUGCAGUCCUGGUGACUGUUCCAGUUGUUGAAAGUACCUGACAGGGACCUUCCCAUGCUGCUGUUGAGGUAUCAUCGUUCCAAGAUUUAAUUAGAACCCCAUCUCCUGGUUUUACCUGGUGUAUGUGAAAGUCUAGAGGUGAUGUUUGGGGUAACAAUAACAACUCUUUUCUUCGAAGAUCUGUGAGAGAGAGUGCAAUUGCCUGAAGUAAUUUCUGAGAUAUAAGUCAUUAGUUUCAGCCAUUGGCAAACCCUCCUUCCUUCCCAGAUAAGGUAACCCAAAUAACAUUUCAUAGGGAGAAACUCCUGUGUCCUUUCUUGGAGCAGUUCUGAUCCGUAAUAAUGCUGAUCUGGUUUCAAUAAUUAAUCUGGUAAUAUGGUUCUUAAGGAUAGCAUUCAUUCUCUCCACACUUCCAGAGCUUUGAGGGUGCCACAGGGUAUGGAAUUUCCAAUUUUUGUCUAAUACAACACAUAUAGAAUAUGAAAUUUUUUGAAGUAAAGUGUGUACCUUUAUCUGAGUCUAUUCUUUCAAUUAUACCAUAUCUGGGAAAGAAACUUCUGGGCUUUUUUCCUUUUUAGGGAGACAAAGGAUAGUUUUGUCACUCCAUCAAUAGGGGGCACAUUCCUACAGUAGCCCUGAAGCUGUCUUACAAACUGAGACUUUGGAAGUGGCUGUCUCUUCCUCCUAGCAUAGAAAAUGGCUUGUUUUUCAGGUGCCACCUCAAACUCCUGAACACCCUCAGCUCCCAGGAGGCUUGGAGGAAUUCAGGUGCUCCAUGGACUUCCCACACACUCCCCUCAAAGCAGAGGAAGUAAGAGGGAGUGUGUCUCACUUGCACAUUGUCAGUGUGGCAAGCAGGGCUGGAGCUCCCAGUGCCACUGGUGGCCCUCAGCAUUGGCCACACAGGGGCCUCCCAUCCCUGCAGGCCCAUCACAAAGUGCUGCUGGAGCAGCUGGUUGUUGGAGAGGCUGUGCAGGACACGCUGUAGGGCUGCCCAAGGAUGCUGUGCAGCACCUAUGGAGGGCAUUGCUCCCCCUGGAACUCCUCAGGUGGUGCAUAGGAAAUUUAUGGAGGAGCUUUUGCUGUAGCACCUUGAGAAAGCAGCAUUUAAAUCAGAGAGAGAGGGGAAGAGCCUCAGGAGUCAGAUGAGCUGGGCUGGAGUCCUUCACUCAGCUCCAAGAGAUCUCACUCUGAGUCUCCUCCUUUUCUAAAAACAGUAAGAAAUGCUUUUUAAAGGCAAGUUGUGCCAUUAGAGAAUUUCUACUGCCAGGAGACAUCCCCGUUCACUUUCAUGUAAUGCACUAAUUAAUUCAUUGAUCCGUGUGUAUGGGAGAAGAUUUUCCCCAUGGUCCCUGCACUGGUCAGUGGCAUGGAUACAGGAUGAGAUCAGGGUGAUUCUGGCUGUGUUUGGGGAAUAGGCCCCUCCAGGCUUUCAGGAUCGUGCCACUGUCAGGUGUGCUGCAGCCAGGAGAGAGCCAGCAGGUCUCCUUCACCUUCUGUGGCCAUGCCAACACCAUCUCCAAUGUCACGGUGCUGUGCCACGUGGAGGGAGGCCCCAGCUACGAGGUGGUGCUGACCGGGGAGGCCUCACGUGUCAGCUACUCCCUGAGACAAAGCCUUAGAGAAGCUGAAGAAGGAAAAGAAGGGUGUCUCUGUGGGGAAGCAACAUCCAAAACCAGGGAGCGAGGAAACUAAUGCCCCAGGGAGGAAGAAAACCAGAAUCCCAGAGAGGAAACCAAAGUGCCAGGAAAAAAGGAAACCAAAGCCCCAAAGAAAGGGGAGCCUAAAGCCCCAGAGAAGGGGGAAGCUAAAGCCCCAAAGAAGGGGGGAACUGAAAUCCCAGAGGACCCAGCUGAGAUGGAGAAGAACUUGAUCUUGAGAUUUCAGAUGUAGGAGUCAUCACAGCAGAAUUUCUCCUACUGGGACAGGGUUCAGGGUACCGUGCAGUUACCUGACCCAAAAGGGAAACAAGUCCCAUCCUGCAGCUGGAAACAAAGGUCAGAAGACCAGUAAGCCUGAGGAGAAGGUGAGGAAACCUGAACAAAAAAGUGGAGACCAAAGGAUGUUGUUUUACCAUGCUUUUAUUGUAUUGGGUUGUAUAUUGGACUGUUCUGUUCUCCCCUCUGUUGCAAUGGCUGUGCUCUGGUUCUCUCCUCCCUCCCUGAAGUUGUCAGUCACCCUUCCUCCUCCCCUGUUACCGUGGUCACCAUUGUAUCUUUCCUCAAAUCCCUCCCCAGUGCCCUGUCCAUCACUCGGCAACCCUUCCCUUCUCUCCAGAACCUUCUACUAAGGGCAUCGAGUGAUUGGUUCAGGGGCUGGGGCCCCUCCCCGAGGUUGUCCCUAUUAGUUUCCCUUGGUGACAAUCUACCUUUCCCCGCUCCCCCCUGUGCUCCCGUUGGGCUAAAGACCCACUUCUCCCCUGUUUGCUCCCCUCCUUAUAAUCCCCUGCGUGGUGCCAG